rnacentral:lncRNA from 1 species
CGACCCUUACUGUGGCUUCAACCUUUAGGAAAGGCUUCUGAAGUUUUGGCGUGAUUGCCGUCGGUCAGUCGGUCGCAGCACGCAUGCGCUUUUCUGGGGAUUGCAGGAGAGAUGCACGCGGUCCCCUUUGAUUGAGGAUUGCGCUUUCUUAAUUGAAGUGAGUCUGACUAAUACGCGGAAGGGAAAACAAACGUUUAGGCACGUAGCUGAGCAGCGCUCUCUACAGUGCUGCGCAGUUUCCUGUACAGAGCGGAGCUGCAUUGUCUGUUUCCUGUAUUUGCAGGUUCAUGCUUCCGCCCGAAGACAGAGGGAUUGGGCACCUAUAAAUGGAGAAGACUGAGACCUACCUUCUCAUCAAAAUCCCUGAAAAGGUGUUCAGGUCCAGCAGAAAGGCAAACUUUGUGAGGUCGUUUCGGACAGAGGCCACGAUGAAGUGUUGAAUUCUGGGCUAAUGAUGUGGUGUGGCUUGGAGGCUGGCUACAGCGGUGUCACCGUAAAUGUCCCACGGUGGGUGUAGCCCAGCACACGCUGUUUUCUGUUUGGACUGUACACACUACCACAAAAUAACUUACAGAUGCACCGACUGAUUUGAACUUUCAUUACAGUCAUUUGUCUUGAAUUUUUUUAUAUAUAUAUAACCCCCCCCCU